UUUUUGUGAAACACCAAUCUAUAGUUGAUAUUGAUGUUUAAUAUGAAUAAGGAAAUAAUUAAAAAAAAGUUGAAUUGAGAGUAAUUACGGAUAUUUGUAGAUGUAUACCUAGUGUAUGCAUGUGAACAUCUAUAUUGAGAAAUAAGAUUUGUAACUUGUGAAUGCCUGAAUGGGAAUCGAGGUGAAAUGAGGAGGGUCCAAGGACAAGAAUCCACGAGAGAGAACUGCAAAUCCGAUGCUCUUCCAAUUUCGUUUUAAAAUAUUCAUAUUUCUCCUAUUUGUACAUUUUUAAAAUUAUGUAUAU
rnacentral:lncRNA from 1 species